UUGGUCUAGUAGUAUGAUUCUCGCUUCGGAUGCGAGAAGUUGCGAGUUCGAUUCUUGCA
rnacentral:tRNA from 1 species